GUCUGAGGUGAGGUUGGAUCGUGGAGAGAAGGGAUGUGAUAGAGUUGACUUUCUCACAAGCACUAAAGUAAUUUUGUCUCUUGGAACUGUAGGUGCCUCAGCCGAUGGCAGCUGCAGGGCCUGAUGUUUGAGCGAGCACGGAGCAGAUGAUGAAGAGGAACCUGGGGACUGCAGGAUUGUUCCAGUUAACCGAGGGUUCGAUUCUGCAAAACAAUUUGGCACCCCAGAUGGGACACCCUCUCUGCCUGGCUGCAGGAUCGGUGGGGAGUGGGACAUUCUAAGGCGCGCCCCAGUAAGCUGUUUCUCCGGAGAAUCUCCCAUCUCUACUCGAUCGCUGGGGAGGGAGAGACCAUCAGCGGGCAGACCAGAUGAAGAAGAGGAACCUGGUGACUGCAGGAUUGUUCCACUUAACCGAUGUGAUUUGAGCUGCUUUGUCUAAGGACAGCUUCAGUCCUGUCCCUCUGAAUGCGAAGUUGAGGGACGUAGGCUGGGAAGAGGGGAGAAGGUCCAUGGGUAUAUGACUAGAUAAUGGGUUUUUAUUUUGUGUUUUUACUUUGCAAGUACUGAGCAAUGAGCCAAGCACAAUAGUGGCAGUGGAGCUGAAUUGGGUGAGGAGAGCGAUAGUGAGUUAUGUGAAGCAGCAGUUAUUGUUCGUCUGCCUUAAUGUCCUUGAAGGGACAGCCGUCCUUUGAUGUUUAUGUAUUACUGUUGGAGUGUGCGUGUCAGAGGUUAGUUCUUUGUUAUUGUCUUUCAGAUGCAGAGGGACAUCCUGUGAAGCAAAGGUCACUGAUGGCAUUGGUCAUAGAGUGUCAUAGGUAGGUGGGUCUGCUUUGGUUUUGUUGGGAAUAUGUGACCUACGGCUAUAUGACCUGCUUAUGUGGGUGUAGUAGCCCUGGCGCAGACUUGGUCAAGGAGAGGAAUGGUUAGUUGCCUGAAGUCAUGGUUAUUGUUCAGGUGUUUUAUAAUCCAUGAUGUUACAACCAACAUUUGCUGUUUGCGUCUUGGAGCACGUGCCUCACCGUGGCCUAACAGGAUGAUGGAGGCUGGGGGGAUGGAUAGUCCAGGUAAUGGAGUGGGAGAUGGGAAUUGCUGGGCACAGCCUGUGUAUUUUGAUCGUAUCUAAGCACCGCUCUUCUUUUGCAGUCUCUUCAUGCAGCCUCAGUGGGGCAAAGCUUCAUUUCAACAAGUAGUUUGAGAGGUGAGGAGAUGGUUGUCCAAAUGGGUGUCUAAGAGCAAAGUAGUACAUCGUAACUCAGUUGAGCGUUUCUUUGGUUUUGCAUGUUCCACACAAGCUGCCUUUGGAAAAGGAAGAGCAUUUGAGGUGAUCUGGGUAGUAGGGAGGAGCGUGAACCUAAUUUUGUGCAAGUGCAACAUUAAUUUUGUCUCUCUUAUCUGAGGUGCCCUAAGUGAUGACAGCUGCAGCAUCUGACAUUUUGAGUGAGCAUGCAGGAGGUGAGCAGAAUGCCUUGGCAGUUUUGCGGUGGGUGUGUGUCGGUGUAGUACAAGAUGUUAGCAGUGAGCAGCAGCGUGAUGGUGGUUGUGGACAUUGUGUGUUUUCUAUUUGGUUUUCAUGGAGAUGAUGAAGAGGAACUGCGUGACAGUAGAAUCGCUCUAGUUAGGCCCCAUUGAUGAGCAAAAGCAGACAUGGCGGUUGGGAGUUUUCAUUACAGCUUGGUGCUGUUCACCUUGAAGUCCUUGGAGGCUGAUAAUGAACGAGUAAGCUAGCAGAAGUUUAAUGAUUAGUGGGCAUUGGCUGCUUUUGGUUCACGAGUUUGAAAACAGCCAGAGGAGACUACAUCUGUGCAAAGUUCAAGGAGAAAAAAUUUCUGGUGUGGAAGACUUCUUACUUCAUCCCUAAUAUCUGGGCCUAUGACCACCAGGAGGCACUACACAGAUUGAAGACUGGAGUUAACUUUCCAGAACUAGUUAUAAUACAAAGUGGGGAAAGGUUAUGAAU